rnacentral:rRNA from 1 species
AUUGAACGCUGGCGGCAGGCUUAACACAUGCAAGUCGAGCGAGCGGCGGACGGGUGAGUAAGGUCUGGGAAACUGCCUGAUGGAGGGGGAUACCUACUGGAAACGGUAGCUAAUACCGCAUACCAUCAGAUGUGCCCAGAUGGGAUUAGCUAGUAGGGGGGGUAAUGGCUCACCUAGGCGACGAUCCCUAGCGGGUCUGAGAGGAUGACAAGCCACACUGGAACUGAGAAACGGUCCAGACUCCUACGGGAGGUAGCAGUGGGGAAUAUUGCGCAAUGGGCGCAAGCCUGAAGCAUCCAUGCCGCGUGUGUGAAGAAGGCCUUCGGGUGGUAAAGCACUUUCAGCGAGGAGGCGUUACUCGCAGAAGAAGCACCGGCUAACUCCGUGCCAGCAGCCGCGGUAAUUC